CAGUGUUAGCACAAGUCCUUUG
rnacentral:miRNA from 1 species